AAAAGUAACUUUUAAUAACUGUACCUCGUGCAUUAUGGUUUUACAAGAAACUAAUUAAAUAUUUAAAUCCCGAAUUCUUAAUGAGAUGUUAAACUGCUGUUAAGAACUUAUUAGUAGCUGUAGAAAAAGCUUUAAAAGACAGUUUAACAGAGGCUACAUACCAUUCGCAUAAGAAUAUAGCUGGUUUUCAACAAACAUUAUACAUUAAAACAUAUAAUUAAUAUUAUAGUGUAAUAUUAUUGAGGAUAAGCCCAAUAAUCUAAACAAUACUAAGCCAAAUUCUAUUUUACUCCAUAGGCUUAAUAUCAGCCAACCAUAGUACUUUACCGUAACAAAAAUUGAUAUAAUGCACAACCUAGCAUGUAAAAAAAAGUUGAAAUUCUGGGCAACCCACAAAACCCAUUACUACUAUGUAAAAAUAAGUAUUAAUAAAUUAUAGUACAAAAUAACCAGAAAAAACUAAAAAUAAACUAUAUAACAAUAACUAAUUAAGGAACUCGGCAAAUUACUAUUUCGACUGUUUAACAAAAACAUUGUCUUAUGAACAACAUAUGAGAUAAUACCUGCCCAGUGACAAACUGUUCAACGGCCGCGGUAUCCUAACCGUGCAAAGGUAGCAUAAUCACUUGCCUAUUAAUUGUAGGCUAGAAUGAAAGGGUUAACGAAAUAAAAACUGUCUCAAUUAGUAAACUAAAAAUUAUUCUCUAUCUGAGGAAAGGUAGAUAGUCUCGAAGGACAAGAAGACCCUAUAGAGCUUAAUUUUACCUAUAGAGCUACACUAUAUAAAAUAUUCGGUUGGGGCGACCCAGGGUAAAAUAAUCACCCACACUAUAAAAGAUAUAUUAAUCAAAUAACUGACCCUCUAAAGAUCAUAAGAACAAGCUACCUUAGGGAUAACAGGCUAAUCCCACUCAAGAGUCCUUAUCAACAGUGGGGUUUGGCACCUCGAUGUUGGCUUAGGGUAUCUAUAUAGCGCAAAAGUUAUAUAAAGAUGGUUUGUUCAACCAGUAAUAUCCCUACAUGAGCUGAGUUCAGACCGGCGUAAGCCAGGUUAGCUUCUAUCCUCGACCACUAUACUCUACCCCUAGUACGAAAGGACCUGGGUAGAAUAAUUACUUAUAUAAAAGAAUACAUACAACUAAUAAUAAACUAAUGCCCACUAUAAACUAUA
rnacentral:rRNA from 1 species